UACGGGGGGGGCAAGCGUUGUUCGGAAUUACUGGGCGUAAAGGGCUCGUAGGCGGCCAACUAAGUCAUACGUGAAAUCCCUCGGCUUAACCGGGGAACUGCGUCUGAUACUGGAUGGCUUGAGAUUGGGAGAGGGAUGCGGAAUUCCAGGUGUAGCGGUGAAAUGCGUAGAGAUCGGGAGGAACAUCUGUGGCGAAGGCGACUGCCUGGACCAGCACUGACACUGAGGCACGAAAGCGUGGGGAGCAAACAGG
rnacentral:rRNA from 1 species